ACAGCCACAUCAUGUUGAAAUACCAAUUUCCAUACAAUUACCAAAGUUAAGCAUCGUCAAUCGUGGUCAGUACUUAGUUGGGUGACUACUUGGGAAUACCAGGUGCUGUAAG